GAUGAACGCUGGCGGCGUGCUUAACACAUGCAAGUCGAACGAAGCACUUUAACCUGAUUCUUCGGAUGCAGGUUUUUGUGACUGAGUGGCGGACGGGUGAGUAACGCGUGGGUAACCUGCCUCAUACAGGGGGAUAACAGUUAGAAAUGACUGCUAAUACCGCAUAAGACCACAGAGCCGCAUGGCUCGGUGGGAAAAACUCCGGUGGUAUGAGAUGGACCCGCGUCUGAUUAGGUAGUUGGUGGGGUAACGGCCUACCAAGCCAACGAUCAGUAGCCGACCUGAGAGGGUGACCGGCCACAUUGGGACUGAGACACGGCCCAAACUCCUACGGGAGGCAGCAGUGGGGAAUAUUGCACAAUGGGGGAAACCCUGAUGCAGCGACGCCGCGUGAGCGAAGAAGUAUUUCGGUAUGUAAAGCUCUAUCAGCAGGGAAGAAAAUGACGGUACCUGACUAAGAAGCACCGGCUAAAUACGUG
rnacentral:rRNA from 1 species